CUGAGUCAUGCAUGGUAGGAGGGCUUUAAAAGGAGGAAGUUUCAGACUGCAAGGAUGCAGUAUAGAAGGUGGCAGAGAAGAAGUCUGCAGUUUCUGUCCCUGUGAUAAGGGAGAAGGAAGGGUAGGUAGGAAUCCAUGAGGAAGGGUUUAACUAGUAGGUCUAAGAGAGAGAGGUCUGACUAGGAAGGCUGAUGAAGGAGGAGCUUAAAGAAGCAUGGUAGAAAGUAGUCCAGGGAAGAUAGUAGUAGGGUUGGUGAAAGCCCAGGCCUUAACUGCUUGCUAUAGGGCCCUGGACUGGAAUCUAGAAUAAAAGGCGGGCCUGGGUUCCCCUGCUAUCCACUGCAAAGUGGUAUUGCUAUGGGCAGUGAAUGGAAAUCCUGCCUGGGUCAUUGCAGGAAUGAUGUAGUCAGGGCAACCUGUCUGAGGACUGCCUGAAGGGGAAACCACGGUGAGACCUGGCUUGAGUCCCAAAGCAGCCAUACUGUGACUCCAUGAGUGGGAGGAGAGCUGCAAUGGUGGAAGAUCAGAAAGGGGGCACUGAACCAGGCAGAGCAAAUUGACGGAAGGAGGCAUCAUUCUGUGGAGUCACUCACCACACGCACGACAACGCAGGAUAGGUAGUCGGAGGGUUUUAGCAACUUACCUGAAGAAGCACUCAUCUGAUCCUGUUCCGGGUUCCCUGGUUCCAUCUGAGAGAUCCAGCAGUCCUGCUGUGCUGUGCUAUCCUAAGGAGAAGACACCAGUGAGUCAAGCUGCCAGGAAUGGUGAGAAGUAAGAAGAAAUUGUGUUAGGCAUCAAGAACAGAAGCAGAUUCUCAUCCAUUGUAGCCAUUUCCUGACUAAUAUGAAUCCUGUCUCCUGAUCUGCUGAUGCAAAUUAGUCUCUCAACUGAGAUUUCACUAAGGUAAUAUUGUGUGUGCCUGGACUCUGUCACUGACUUGCUGUGUAUCUUGGGGUGACGCUAAACCUUUCUGUGCUUCAAUUUCCCCAUUUGUACCAUAGGGCUAACCAUACUUAUCUAAUCACUGUACCGCACCAGGGUGAAGG